rnacentral:rRNA from 1 species
AUUGAACGCUGGCGGCAGGCCUAACACAUGCAAGUCGAACGAGUGGCGGACGGGUGAGUAAUGUCUGGGAAACUGCCCGAUGGAGGGGGAUAACUACUGGAAACGGUAGCUAAUACCGCAUACCAUCGGAUGUGCCCAGAGGGGAUUAGCUAGUAGGGUGGGUAAUGGCUCACCUAGGCGAAGAUCCCUAGCUGGUCUGAGAGGAUGACCAGCCACACUGGAAAUGAGCCACGGUCCAGACGCCUACGCGAGGCAACAUGGGUGAAUAUUGCACAAUGGGCGCAAGCCUGAUGCAGCCAUGCCGCGUGUAGUAAGAAGGCCUUCGGGUUGUAAAGUACUUUCAGCGAGGAGUCGUUACUCGCAGAAGAAGCACCGGCUAACUCCGUGCCAGCAGCCGCGGUAAUUC